rnacentral:rRNA from 1 species
AGCUCCAAUAGCGUAUAUUAAAGUUGUUGCAGUUAAAAAGCUCGUAGUUGGAUCUCGGGUCCGGGCUGGCGGUCCCGUUCGCGCGGGCACUGCCUGUUCCCGACCUACCUGCCGGCACGUCCCUCGGUGCUCUUCGCUGAGUGCCCCGGGUGGCCGGCGCGUUUACUUUGAAAAAAUUAGAGUGUUCAAAGCAGGCCGCCGCGCCUGUAUACCGAUGCAUGGAAUAAUGGAAUAGGACCUCGGACUCUAUUCUGCUGGUUCUCUUCGGAUCGCGAGGUAAUGAUUAAGAGGGACGGCCGGGGGCAUUAGUAUUACGGUGUUAGAGGUGAAAUUCUUGGAUCGCCGUAAGACUGCCAGUUGCGAAAGCGUUUGCCAAGAAUGUUUUCAUUGAUCAAGAACG